rnacentral:ribozyme from 14 species
ACAAGUCACCACAAUAUUGGCACGGAACUUGUGUCUUCUGAAUCCUUUUUCUUUUCUUGUUUUUUCUUUUCUUAUAUCUUAAAUUAGAAUUCUUAGAACACCAACGAUUUUCGUGUACGGAAAGGUUUUUUCCUGCCACAAACAAUUCACCACAAUAUUGACACGGAACUUGUGUCUUCUGAAUCUUUUUUCUUUUCUUAUAUCUUAAAUU